rnacentral:rRNA from 1 species
UAGCAUAAUCAUUUGGUUUUUAAUUGAGAUCUGGAAUGAAAGGUUUUACAAUGGUUAUUGUCUUAGUUUUAAGGUUUGAAUUUUUAUUUUGAAUUAAAAUAUUUAAAUAUUAUAAAGGGACGAUAAGACCCUAAAAGUUUUAUUGGGUUUUUUUUGUUUAGAUUUUAAAAGAAAAUUAGCUGGGGUAGUUGUUUUAUUAAAACUAAGAUUAAAUUUAGCUUUAGGUUGAUGGUCCUUUAGAUUAAGAUAGUUAGAUAGAGUUACUUUAGGGAUAACAGCGUAAUAGUUUUGGAGAGACCAUAUUUAUAGAAUUGAUUGCGACCUCGAUGUUGAAUUAAAGUAACCUACCUAGUAGAUGAGGUAGUGACAGGUUUGUUCAGCCUUUAGUGUAUUUACAUGAUUU